rnacentral:rRNA from 1 species
UACGGGGGGGGCAAGCGUUGUUCGGAAUUACUGGGCGUAAAGGGUUUGUAGGUGGCUCGCUAAGUCAGACGUGAAAUCCCUCAGCUUAACUGGGGAACUGCGUCUGAGACUGGCGAGCUUGAGUGCAGGAGAGGAACGCGGAAUUCCAGGUGUAGCGGUGAAAUGCGUAGAUAUCUGGAGGAACACCGGUGGCGAAGGCGGCAUCCUGGACCGACACUGACGCUGAUGAGCGAAAGCCAGGGGAGCAAACGGG